UACGAAGGGUGCAAGCGUUGCCCGGAAUCAUUGGGCGUAAAGUGUUUCGUAGGUGUUCUCGUAAGUUAUUCUUCAAAGCUUUCGGCUUAACCGGAAAAAGGGGAGUAAUACUGCGAGGAUUGAAGGGUGUUGGGGUCACUGGAAUUGUCGGUGUAGGGGUGAAAUCCGUUGAUAUCGACAAGAACUCCAAAGGCGUAGGCGGGUGACUGAGCACUUCUUGACACUGAUGAACGAAAGCUAGGGGAGCGAAAGGG
rnacentral:rRNA from 1 species